UACGUAGGGUGCAAGCGUUGCCCGGAUUUAUUGGGCGUAAAGGGCGCGUAGGCGGCUCUGCACGUCCGUUGUGAAAUCGCCCGGCUCAACUGGGCGGGGUCAGCGGAUACGGCAGAGCUUGAGCAAGCUAGGGGGCAAUGGAAUUCCCGGUGUAGUGGUGGAAUGCGUAGAUAUCGGGAGGAAUACCAGUGGCGAAAGCGGCUCACUGGACCAUAACUGACGCUGAUGCACGAAAGCUAGGGGAGCAAACAGG
rnacentral:rRNA from 1 species